rnacentral:rRNA from 1 species
AUUGAACGCUGGCGGCAUGCCUUACACAUGCAAGUCGAACGGCAGCACGGGAGCAAUCCUGGUGGCGAGUGGCGAACGGGUGAGUAAUGUAUCGGAACGUGCCCAGUCGUGGGGGAUAACGCAGCGAAAGCUGUGCUAAUACCGCAUACGAUCUUUGGAUGAAAGCGGGGGAUCGCAAGACCUCGCGCGAUUGGAGCGGCCGAUAUCAGAUUAGGUAGUUGGUGGGGUAAAGGCCCACCAAGCCGACGAUCUGUAGCUGGUCUGAGAGGACGACCAGCCACACUGGGACUGAGACACGGCCCAGACUCCUACGGGAGGCAGCAGUGGGGAAUUUUGGACAAUGGGCGCAAGCCUGAUCCAGCAAUGCCGCGUGCAGGAUGAAGGCCUUCGGGUUGUAAACUGCUUUUGUACGGAGCGAAACGGCUUCCACUAAUACUGGGGGCUAAUGACGGUACCGUAAGAAUAAGCACCGGCUAACUACGUGCCAGCCGCCGCCGUAACAC